rnacentral:rRNA from 1 species
UACAGAGACCUCAAGCGUUAUCCGGAAUCAUUGGGCGUAAAGCGUACCGACAGGUGGUUAAGAAAGUCAGAAGUGAAAUCUCUCAGCUUAACUGGGAGACUGUCUUUUGAAACUUCUUAACUUGAGGGGCAAAGAGGAAGCUGGAACGAACGGUGUAGUAGUGAAAUGCGUUGAUAUCGUUCGGAACACCAAUAGCGUAGGCAGGCUUCUGGGUGCCACCUGACACUGCUAGGACGAAAGCGUGGGGAGCGAAUGGG